GAUGAACGCUGGCGGCGUGCCUAACACAUUCAAGUCGAACGGUGAAGUACCUUCGGGUGCGGAUCAGUGGCGGACGGGUGAGUAACGCGUGAGCAACCUGCCUUUCAAAGCGGGAUAACGGCUGGAAACGGACGCUAAUACCGCAUGAUGUUUGCGAGACGCAUGUUUUGCAUACCAAAGAUUUAUCGAUGAAAGAUGGGCUCGCGUCUGAUUAGAUAGUUGGUGGGGUAACGGCUCACCAAGUCGACGAUCAGUAGCCGGACUGAGAGGUUGAACGGCCACAUUGGAACUGAGAUACGGUCCAGACUCCUACGGGAGGCAGCAGUGGGGAAUAUUGGGCAAUGGGCGAAAGCCUGACCCAGCGACGCCGCGUGCGGGAAGAAGGUCUUCGGAUUGUAAACCGCUGUAGACAGGGACGAAACAAAUGACGGUACCUGUAAAGUAAGCCACGGCUAACUACGUGCCAGCAGCCGCCGUAACAC
rnacentral:rRNA from 1 species